GCAGAAGUCUACUGAACCGUCACAUCAGAGAGACGCUCUCAUCAGGACUGCAGCAGGACUUUGUUCAGGACGAAAGGACAAAUAAUCGAGGAUAUGGAGGAAAUCACAGAAGAAGCUGACUAUGUGAAUGCACCAGAAGGCCCUGUGGAUAAAAAGGCAACGCGUCCAGAGGACACCAAAAAAGAAGCUGCACCAGAAGGCACAU